UGCCCCAUGGCUGAGUUGGUUACAGCGUCCGACUGUUAGCACAUACCGCAAUCGGAAGGUCGAGAGUUCGAGCCUCUCUGGGGCAG